rnacentral:rRNA from 1 species
GGCCAUUGCUAUCGGAGUCCGAUUUAGCCAUGCUAGUUGUACGAGUUUAGACUCGUAGCAUAUAGCUCAGUAACACGUGGCCAAACUACCCUACAGACCGCGAUAACCUCGGGAAACUGAGGCCAAUAGCGGAUAUAACUCUCAUGCUGGAGUGCCGAGAGUUAGAAACGUUCCGGCGCUGUAGGAUGUGGCUGCGGCCGAUUAGGUAGAUGGUGGGGUAACGGCCCACCAUGCCGAUAAUCGGUACAGGUUGUGAGAGCAAGAGCCUGGAGACGGUAUCUGAGACAAGAUACCGGGCCCUACGGGGCGCAGCAGGCGCGAAACCUUUACACUGCACGACAGUGCGAUAGGGGGACUCCGAGUGUGAGGGCAUAUAGCCCUCGCUUUUCUGUACCGUAAGGUGGUACAGGAACAAGGACUGGGCAAGACCGGUGCCAGCCGCCGCGGUAAUACCGGCAGUCCAAGUGAUGGCCGAUAUUAUUGGGCCUAAAGCGUCCGUAGCUUGCUGUGUAAGUCCAUUGGGAAAUCGACCAGCUCAACUGGUCGGCGUCCGGUGGAAACUACACAGCUUGGGGCCGAGAGACUCAACGGGUACGUCCGGGGUAGGAGUGAAAUCCUGUAAUCCUGGACGGACCACCAAUGGGGAAACCACGUUGAGAGACCGGACCCGACAGUGAGGGACGAAAGCCAGGGUCUCGAACCGGAUUAGAUACCCGGGUAGUCCUGGCUGUAAACAAUGCUCGCUAGGUAUGUCACGCGCCAUGAGCACGUGAUGUGCCGUAGUGAAGACGAUAAGUGAGCCGCCUGGGAGGUACGUCCGCAAGGAUGAAACUUAAAGGAAUUGGCGGGGGAGCACCACAACCGGAGGAGCCUGCGGUUU